rnacentral:rRNA from 1 species
CCCGCACAAGCGGUGGAGCAUGUGGUUUAAUCGAAGCAACGCGAAGAACCUUACCAGGCCUUGACAUGCAGAGAACUUUCCAGAGAUGGAUUGGUGCCUUCGGGAACUCUGACACAGGUGCUGCAUGGCUGUCGUCAGCUCGUGUCGUGAGAUGUUGGGUUAAGUCCUGUAACGAGCGCAACCCUUGUCCUUAGUUACCAGCACGUUAUGGUGGGCACUCUAAGGAGACUGCCGGUGACAAACCGGAGGAAGGUGGGGAUGACGUCAAGUCAUCAUGGCCCCUACGGCCUGGGCUACACACGUGCUACAAUGGUCGGUACAAAGGGUUGCCAAGCCGCGAGGUGGAGCUAAUCCCAUAAAACCGAUCGUAGUCCGGAUCGCAGUCUGCAACUCGACUGCGUGAAGUCGGAAUCGCUAGUAAUCGUGAAUCAGAAUGUCACGGUGAAUACGUUCCCGGGCCUU